rnacentral:tRNA from 1 species
GGAGGGGUGCCGGAGUGGUCGAACGGGCCGGUCUCGAAAACCGGUGUACUCUUGCGGGUACCGUGGGUUCGAAUCCCACCCCCUCCGCCA